rnacentral:rRNA from 1 species
GAUGAUCGCUGGCGGCGUGCCUAAUACAUGCCAGUCGAGCGAACGGACGAGAAGCUUGCUUCUCUGAUGUUAGCGGCGGACGGGUGAGUAACACGUGGAUAACCUACCUAUAAGACUGGGAUAACUUCGGGAAACCGGAGCUAAUACCGGAUGAUAUUUUGAACCGCAUGGUUCAAAAGUGAAAGACGGUCUUGCUGUCACUUAUAGAUGGAUCCGCGCUGCAUUAGCUAGUUGGUAAGGUAACGGCUUACCAAGGCAACGAUGCAUAGCCGACCUGAGAGGGUGAUCGGCCACACUGGAACUGAGACACGGUCCAGACUCCUACGGGAGGCAGCAGUAGGGAAUCUUCCGCAAUGGGCGAAAGCCUGACGGAGCAACGCCGCGUGAGUGAUGAAGGUCUUCGGAUCGUAAAACUCUGUUAUUAGGGAAGAACAUAUGUGUAAGUAACUGUGCACAUCUUGACGGUACCUAAUCAGAAAGCCACGGCUAACUACGUG